UACGGAGGAUGCAAGCGUUAUCCGGAAUGAUUGGGCGUAAAGCGUCCGCAGGUGGCUAUGUAAGUCUGCUGUUAAAGAGUGAGGCUCAACCUCAUAAGAGCAGUGGAAACUACAUGGCUAGAGUGCGUUCGGGGCAGAGGGAAUUCCUGGUGUAGCGGUGAAAUGCGUAAAUAUCAGGAAGAACACCGGUGGCGAAAGCGCUCUGCUAGGCCGCAACUGACACUGAGGGACGAAAGCUAGGGGAGCGAAUGGG
rnacentral:rRNA from 1 species